rnacentral:rRNA from 1 species
CACGUAGGGCGCAAGCGUUGUCCGGAAUUAUUGGGCGUAAAGGGCUCGUAGGCGGUUUGUCGCGUCGGGAGUGAAAUCCACUGGCUUAACUGGUGGCUUGCUUUCGAUACGGGCAGACUGGAGGUAUGCAGGGGAGAACGGAAUUCCUGGUGUAGCGGUGAAAUGCGUAGAGAUCGGGAGGAAUACCUGUGGCGAAGGCGGCCUACUGGGCCGGACCUGACGCUGAGACGCGAAGGCGUGGGGAGCGAACGGG